GUUCUCCUGGCGUAUCCUGUUGCCGCAGAUGAUCCCUCCCUCAUCCUGCGUGCGAUGCGCCCUCCUGCCCCGCUUGUCCCUGUGACAGGCGGGGCUUUUU
rnacentral:ncRNA from 1 species